GAUGAGUGUAAUGUACCUGCUGGUAUCUGUGGAGGGGGAGGGACCUGUCAGAACCAGGAAGGAAGCUACAGUUGCCUCUGUCUCCCUGGAUACAGUAAUUAUGGCAACAAACAGGCUAGGUGCUCAGACAUAAAUGAGUGUAAUGUUACUGCUGGUAUAUGUGGAGGGGGAGGGACCUGUCAGAACCAGGAGGGAAGCUACAGUUGCCUCUGUCUCCCUGGAUACAGUAAUUAUGGCAACAAACAGGCUAGGUGCUCAGACAUAGAUGAGUGUAAUGUAACUGCUGGUGUCUGUGGAGAGGGAGGGACCUGUCAGAACCAGGAAGGAAGCUACAGUUGCCUCUGUCUCCCUGGAUACAGUAAUUAUGGCAACAAACAGGCUAGGUGCUCAGACAUCGAUGAGUGCCAAGAUACACCUCAGGUUUGUGGCAGCAACACCAGUUGCCUCAACACCAUUGGGAGCUUCCACUGCCAGUGUCAACCUGGGUUCAGAUUCUCUCAUCACACUGUGAAGAACUGAUGGAAAUUCCAAUAUCAAGUUUUCUGAUGAGUUUACCAAUGAUUAUGUCACGUCUGCUCCUGCUCCCCCUCUCUGACGCUCGAGGUUGCCAGACGGCUCAUCAUUACUCACACCACUCACCAUCGUUAUGCGCCCCAGCGCUUCAUCGGACUCACCUGGACUCCAUCAUGUCAUUGAUUUUCUACCCUAUAUCUGUCACCCCCUCCAGUUAAUGUUCCGUGUCUGCAUAGAUGUUGUUUUGUUUCUCCUGUCCAGACGCUGUUCCUGUUUUUCAUGUCUGUUAACCCAUUAAAUAUUCAUACCCUGCACUUACUUCUCAUCUCCCAGCGUCUGGCAUCACAGAGCCAUUACAGAUUGUGUACAUUUCCUUUUUAAAGACUUGCUGAGGCAUUUGACUUAGGAUAACAGUUAGUGAGACUGUAGUAAUAUACAGUAUAAAGAUACCUGGAUCCGGCUGUUUUCUAAUUGAUUUUUAUUUAAAUUGAACCUUUAUUUGACUAGACAAGUCAGUUAAAAACAACAUUUUAUUUACCAUGAUGCCCUAGGAACAGUGGGUUAACUGCCUUGUUCAGGGGCAGAACAACAUAUAUGUUUUUCUUCCAGCUCCGGGGAUUCGAUCUAGCAACCAGUCGGUUAUUGGCCCAAUGCUCUAACCACUAUGCUACUGCCGCCCCUUAGGAUUUCCCUGCUGUUAACCUCUCUUGGGUAGGGGGCAGUAUUUUCACCUCCGGAUGAAAAGCGUGCCCAAAGUAAAUUGCCUGUUACUCAGGCCCAGA